rnacentral:lncRNA from 10 species
CUUCAGGAGACAAACAGGAGUCACUGUGGUGAUGCCACUUCCCCUUGUGUUUUAGCCACCACUGGGGUAGUUCCUGCCACAACUGUUGCCCCUGGCCGUUCCAAGACAGAGGCCACCACUUUCCUAGGAGUAAGUGGAACAACAAGUGUUGGAAGAGCCACGGGUAUUACUGUUGUAGUCUCUGGAAAAACACUGAAACCUGGAAGUUACAAGACAGGGGCCACAACUUCCAUGGUAGGGGGUGACACCAGCCAAGCAGAACGUCCAGGAGAUACUUCUGGUGAAUUCCCAGGAACAACCAUUACAUCUGGAGAUUCCCACACAGAGACCACAGCUGUGACAGGAAGCAGGGGCAGUAUUGGAACUGAAUCCAUAGCAGGUGAGGAGCAGGCCAUGAUUUGGGAGUUAUUUGAAUUACGACUUUUAUUAUUAUGACUUGUUUAGAAGUGAACUUUCCUGCAGAACAUUGUGCAUUUUUUUUUUUAGGGAAAAUGAAUCUAAGCCUGAAGAACUUUUUUUUACAUUUAAUGUUUUUUUUUUUUUUUUUUUUUUUUUUUAAAUACACACAAACUACCAAUAGUGUCUUUUGAAUGUGAUGCCUCUUGAAUUUGUUUUGAGAAAUUUCUCCUAU